ensembl:lncRNA
AUGAGAAAUCAUUCUCACUUGAAAUUAUUCAAAAGUUUCCAAGUUCUGAAGCACAACAUAGGUCCGCAGAUCAAAUUUGGUCCAUUCAUAACUCAACAAAAACUGUAACUUGCAUACACUUCUAAAUACAUCUUCAUGACAUUCAGAGCAGGUAUAAAGGACACCAUGCAAAGUUCCAAAAUGUUAAAGAAGUUCCUUGCAAAUUGAACAAAAUCAGGUUGACUUUAAAAUUUUUCAUCAGCAUAUAUCCAAAACUUGUAAGUUGUUUCAGCCUGAGAACAAAAUACAGUUUCAGAAAUCCAAGGUUUCAAAAUUUACCUCCCAUAUAACCUUUCCAAAAGGUGUACCAGAAGAUUGGACUUCCUGGUGGUCUCGUGGUUAGGACUCUGUGCUUCCUCUGCAGGGGGCAUGGGUUUGAUCUCUGGUCAGGGAACUAAGAUCCCACAUGCUACAUGGUACAGACAAAAACCAUUUUUUUUAAUGUAAACAAAAAAGAUGUACUAGGGAAUAUAUUGGAAUAAAGUGAAAAUUUAAUCUCAAAAGUAGAUUGGGAUCCAAGAUAUAAUGGAACCAAAACCUCUUGUAGUAGAGCAGAGAUAAGUGUACUUAGUAUUGAUAAUAAUGUGGAUAUGAAAUAGAAGAUUCUAAGUUGGAAUUCAUGUGGUGAAUAGUGUUAACACAAAGAAUAGACAUUUAGUAUUAUGCGUGUUUGUGUUUUCUACUUACACAAGUAAAUGCAGCAGGCUCUUGAUCUUUUCUGUCACACAUGAUGUGUAUACAUACAGUUUGAUUCCACUACCUUUGGCGUAUCCAUUUUUACAGUGAAGGACGCUUCUGAUGCCUCCACAUCACCUCCCUGCUGCCAUAAACACCACAGUGAGUUCCAAAGAAUAGUAAGGAGAGAUAAGAAAGCCAUCCUCAGUGAUCAAUGCAAAGAAAUAGAGGAAAACAACAGAAUGGGAAAGACUAGAGAUCUCUUCAAGAAAAUUAGAGAUACCAAGAGAACAUUUCAUGCAAAGAUCGGCACAAUAAAGGACAGAAAUGGUAUGGACCUAACAGAAACAGAAGAUAUUAAGAAGAGGUGGCAAGAAUACACAGAAGAACUACAAAAAAGAUCUUUAUGACCCAGAUAACCACAAUGGUGUGAUCACUCACCUAGAGCCAGACUUCCUGGAAUGCAAACUCAAGGGGGCCUUAGGAAGCAUCACUACGAACAAAGCUAGUAGAGG